rnacentral:piRNA from 1 species
UACCGAAGGUGCUUCCCUUGGCCAUGGCCUC